AAUUAACAUAGCUUUAUAAUGACUUUUGUGAUCUGGGAGAUAAAUAUUGUUAGUUUUUUCUUCUUCAAAAUUAUCUCAGCAGUUCUUGGCCCUGCCUCUUCUUUAUGCAACGCCCUGAGGUCAAAUAAAGGAGUAGAGCUGCCUCUUUCAGUUCCUCCACGUUGUUGAAUUUCCAUUUUUUCCUCAGGCAACUUCAUGUACUGCUUGUGAUGCAUGACUCCCGACACACAGACCGAGUGAAGGAGCCAACAUCGAUUCAUGUGGCGCUGGGAGUAUAGCAGUGAGCAAGUCAUUGCCUGACCCUUACAAGAAGAUAAUCACAACAACAGAGUGACAGAAAUUUGUCUGUAUUGGAUCUUUCUGAAACAUUCAACUCUUUCUUUUCGCAACCACGGUUUAUCAGAUUAUGGCAUAUUUAAUUACAGUGCAUGUAAAAUAACAAGUGGAGUUAGAGGAGGAGCACACAGUCCUGAACAGUGGUUCUCAAUAGGAGCUCUCUGUCAAGCUUCC
rnacentral:lncRNA from 1 species